UAUUGGUUGAGGAACAACUUCAAGCUGGUCAUAUAGAAACAACAAUUAGUCCUUGGAACACCCCCAAUUUUGUUAUUAAGAAAAAAAUCAGGUAGCUGGGGGGUUAUUACAGGAUUUCAGGGCAAUAAAUCAUGCAAUUCAGCCUAUGGGAUCAUUACAGUCUGGACUUCCUUCCACCACAGUAAUUCCUUUGGAUUAUAGCUUAAAUUUAAUAGACCUGAAAGAUUGUUUCUUUUCAAUAAAAUUACAUCCUGAGGAUUGUGAAAAAUUUGCUUUCAG
rnacentral:sRNA from 1 species